UCUUGAAUGGGUUGGAUCUCAGGCUCGGAUUCCCUGACUGUGAGCCGCACAGGCUUACCCCAGUCAUUUCAUUACCUUCACAACAAUGUGAUCCAGCAUUUGAUGCGGCUGAAAUUUUUAGACCCUACAUUUCACAUUUUGGUAAGGAUUUCAGGGCAUUUUCAAUUGAGAGAAGAAAACUAAAGCCCGGAGAAGGAAGACAAAUGUAAGAUAAUUUGAAUCUGCUGACUCAUCAGUGCAUGAAGUGGUUCCUUGGUGGAGAGGGAAGAAGAUUGGGUUUACAGGGGAAGGAAGGAUGGAAUCCUGGCCUUCACAUUUCAAGUUUCUAGAACAGGCAUUCACAAAAGAGUGAGAAGCAGAAAAGGCAUAAAAGAAGACCAUCUGAGCAAGAAGAAAGCCAUCCUACUGGCUUAUUUCAUAAGCAAUGCACAACAUCUGGAGAAGUGGUGGCAUCAUCGCACCAGAGAAAGAGAGUCAGAACUUCAUGUGAGAUCAAGGGAUGGAGCAGGAGGUUUUUUUUCUUUAACUAUGUAACUGAAGGACAGCAGGACCGUUUAAGCUCAGAUCUUCUCCGUGUUAAUGAAGCAGGAACGAGGCUCUCCUCACACACUCAAACAUCUCCACAGAGGAUUUUCUUGCAGGAGAUUAGUGCUGGUGACACUCUUCACAUUGAUAAUAAACUAAGAUUAUGCGUUACUUCUCUUUGAUUUUCCUUGCCAUAUUAUGAUAAUCGUUAUGAUGCUAAUUAGCAAAUUGUGUAUUUGUUCACCAGCUUAGUUUAUUUUGAUUUUUUAAAAGUACUACAGAAACAAAUUAGCAUGGCAUAUGACACACAAUAACCAUAAUAGCAUAACAAGCAAAAAAAGAGAUGAAUAUGCACAUAGUUGAAGUUAUUUGGAAGGCAAUUCUGUUAUUUUUUGAGAUGGAGGAUGAUGAGUUAUCUACUCUUGGUGGAAAUUUCCUUUAAAAUGGACAAUGCAGUAGACCCUUCUAAAGUCUGAAAC
rnacentral:lncRNA from 1 species